rnacentral:rRNA from 1 species
GACGGGGGCCCGCACAAGCGGUGGAGCAUGUGGUUUAAUUCGAUGCAACGCGAAGAACCUUACCUGGUCUUGACAUCCACAGAACUUUCCAGAGAUGGAUUGGUGCCUUCGGGAACUGUGAGACAGGUGCUGCAUGGCUGUCGUCAGCUCGUGUUGUGAAAUGUUGGGUUAAGUCCCGCAACGAGCGCAACCCUUAUCCUUUGUUGCCAGCGGUUCGGCCGGGAACUCAAAGGAGACUGCCAGUGAUAAACUGGAGGAAGGUGGGGAUGACGUCAAGUCAUCAUGGCCCUUACGACCAGGGCUACACACGUGCUACAAUGGCAUAUACAAAGAGAAGCGACCUCGCGAGAGCAAGCGGACCUCAUAAAGUAUGUCGUAGUCCGGAUUGGAGUCUGCAACUCGACUCCAUGAAGUCGGAAU